rnacentral:lncRNA from 1 species
UGCAUGUAAACAGAUUAAUCAAACGGUGUUGAAUGUCACUGGAAAUUGCCUUUUUGCCGAUAAAAUUCCUGAUCAGAAGGAUAAGGAUACAUGCGCAAGGUUUUACGGGUGGAGUCCACCUCCUCCUCCUCCAUCCCCCCCACCACCUUCCCCUCCUCCUCCUUCUCCCCCACCACCUUCCCCUCCUCCUCCUUCUCCCCCACCACCUUCCCCUCCUCCUCCACCUCCAUGCCCCUAUGGUUACCAACCCGGCAAGUAUUCGGGCACUUGUUUCAUGCUUGUCACGCAUUGCAAGACCUGGGAGUACGCCGAACAUUACUGCAACCAGCAAUCGGGCGGUCACUUGGCUGCCGUG